rnacentral:rRNA from 1 species
AGAGUUUGAUCCUGGCUCAGAUUGAACGCUGGCGGAAUGCUUUACACAUGCAAGUCGAACGGCAGCACGGGAGCUUGCUCCUGGUGGCGAGUGGCGAACGGGUGAGUAAUGCGUCGGAACGUACCGAGUAAUGGGAGAUAACGCGGCGAAAGUCGCGCUAAUACCGCAUACGCCCUGAGGGGGAAAGCGGGGGAUCGCAAGACCUCGCGUUAUUCGAGCGGCCGACGUCUGAUUAGCUAGUUGAUGGGGUAAAGGCUCACCAAGGCGACGAUCAGUAGCGGGUCUGAGAGGAUGAUCCGCCACACUGGGACUGAGACACGGCCCAGACUCCUACGGGAGGCAGCAGUGGGGAAUUUUGGACAAUGGGGGCAACCCUGAUCCAGCCAUUCCGCGUGAGUGAAGAAGGCCUUCGGGUUGUAAAGCUCUUUCAGCUGGAGCGAAACGGUACGCUCUAACAUAGCGUGCUAAUGACGGUACCAGCAGAAGAAGCACCGGCUAACUACGUGCCAGCAGCCGCGGUAAUACGUAGGGUGCGAGCGUUAAUCGGAAUUACUGGGCGUAAAGCGUGCGCAGGCGGAUUGUUAAGCAAGACGUGAAAUCCCCGGGCUUAACCUGGGAAUGGCGUUUUGAACUGGCAGUCUAGAGUGCGUCAGAGGGGGGUGGAAUUCCACGUGUAGCAGUGAAAUGCGUAGAGAUGUGGAGGAACACCGAUGGCGAAGGCAGCCCCCUGGGAUGACACUGACGCUCAUGUACGAAAGCGUGGGUAGCAAACAGGAUUAGAUACCCUGGUAGUCCACGCCCUAACGAUGUCAACUGGUUGUUGGGGGAGUGAAAUCCCUUAGUAACGAAGCUAACGCGUGAAGUUGACCGCCUGGGGAGUACGGUCGCAAGAUU